rnacentral:rRNA from 1 species
UACGUAGGGGACAAGCGUUGUCCGGAGUUACUGGGCGUAAAGCGCCCGCAGGCGGUCCGCUCAGUUUGCGCUGACAGCUCCUGGCUUAACUGGGAGAGCGGUGCGAAGACGGGCGGACUGAGAGGACCAGAGAGGGACAUGGAACUCCGGGCGUAGUGGUGAAAUGCGUAGAUAUCCGGAAGAACACCAAAGGCGAAGGCAGUGUCCUGGCUGGUACCUGACGCUGAGGGGCGAAAGCUAGGGGAGCGAACGGG